GGAGACAAAGGAGCAAGGGCAGGGAGUGAGAUAGAUACUGCACAGAAGAGAUGCCCUGCCUGGCACAGAGAGUUUGCAGUUCAAGGGAACUUAUAAACAAGAUGGACAGCAACUGAUUACACAGUUUGAUUAUGGUAGGAAAAAGAGCAAGUUUUUCAACUAGAAGACGGGUGAUUAAAGUUAGAUGCUAGGAGGAAAUUCUUGAUUCAGUGUGGUGAGGCACACUGAAUGCUGAAUGGUCCCUAGGACUCUAUGAUUCUGUGGUUAAUUCUAUGAUCUUUAAGGCCCCUUCCAAAUCAAACCAUUCUCUUUUAGGACUCUGUGAUAGACUAGGGAUGGUCUAGAAGUUGGGAGGAGACAGAGCAAGGAGGACAGCUGACCUAAAACGAGACCAAAGGGACACUGCAUGCAGAAUGAGGGCAUGAUCAGCAAGAGGAGAUGGGGCAAAGAGGGAGAAGGGAGAAGAAUCCUCCCCUCAAGAAACAGGAAACACGGACCAUGUUGAGAUGUCUGACGUCCCCAAAUAAAAGCAGUGGCUCUGCAGACGCAACAGAUGCACCAUGGGCUGCAUCACAGCCUUUCACUGUGGGUAACUCUCUGUCAGCUGUAGAAACACCACAGGACAGGUGCUAGGGUUGCAGCGCAAGCAAUCUGACCAUCUGUAUCCAGCUCACAUCAAAGCAGGUGUCAUGAGGAGAGAUCUCCAAAAGAUGUGGGGGCAAGCGGGAUGGUCCAUGCCAAGUCCUUCUGUUCCUGCCCUCCUGCUGCUGGUGGUCGGUGAGUUGGGGAUGCUGUGGGGAGAAAAGAACUCUAUGAAGAGGAGGAAAUCUCCCAGAAAUAGGCUUGGGAUGGUGCCAAUAGGUGGAAGUGAAGCCGGUGCAGAAUGGAGACAUGCUCCAAAAAUAUGAGAGAUGGGAAUGCUGUGUGCUUUAGAAAGAUAGGGGACUGUACUUGAAGCAGCAAACACAAUACAAAUGGACCCGAGCUGGCUCAGAGACACAGCAAAGAAGCAAUACGGAGACAUGCAGGUGGGAUGGUGCAUUCAAUCACAUUGGGGACAUGGGCGGGGAACAUGUGGAUGAGCAGGACGUUGUCCCUCCAAACAAGACUCUCUCUGUCCCGCGGUGUAGGUACUGGUGUGAACACCUGGGACAUCUGUAGCUCCAGGACUGAUGGUACUCUCCAGGCUCCAGUCAUGGUCCUUAGCACUUCCAGAGCUCAGGAAGGAGAAGUCGUCCUGGCUCAUUGUUUCCUUCGGAAGAUAAUACCUGCUACCCGGAUAGUCUUCUGCAAGGAUGGGAUGGAGCUGUACAACAUGAAAGCCCAAGAGGACGUGGUCAUCUACUCCAUGCUGCUGAACAUCUCUGCAAGAAGCAGUGGGACAUACACGUGUGCGUACCAGCAGAGGAAUGAGAGCAAUUGGCUAAGGAGCUCUCCCCUUAGCACUCCCUUGGACCUACAUGUCACAGGUGGGACAUGACGCCAGGGUUGCGCGGACGCAGGGGAUGGGGGGACUAAACAUCACAUAGAUUUUCUGGAUCAAGAAAUGCCAUAGAGAGAAGUGGGCUCUGGAAUGGUCUCCCUCUCCAUCCCGUGGUGCAGAAAUGGGGCACUGCAGUGCCCAGGCUCAGGAAGCAGGUGCAGGGUUUGGGCAAGAUCCCUUUCCUGGGAAGUGAUGCUGCAGGGGUUAUUCAAAAAAUGUUUUGAGAAUAAGGAGUGGAAACUCGGGUGAUUUCCAAGUCUGAG
ensembl:lncRNA